CUGAUUUCAACCCUAUAUAUUAAUUUAGCAAGUGUUUAAAAUCUACAUGUGUAGUCAUACAAUAUUAACUUAUUUCAUAGCUGGCUUAUUUUGUUCAACACAAUGACUUUGGGAUUAAUCUGCAUUUUUGUGAUUAAUUGUAGAUUGUUCAUUCUCAAUAAUGAACACUGUAGAACAUUUCAUUGUGAGAAUUUAUCUCAAUUUACUUAACCAUUCUGCCAGGAUAAGCAUUGAGAUAAUUGGCAGCUUGGGACUCUUAAAAAUAAUGCUAUAAAUAUCUAGUAAAUGUGUUUUAUGAAAAUAGGUACUGUAGGUAAAUUACUGUUGAGUAUCUCUAGGAAUAGAACUUCUGAACCAUAGGGUAAACAGAAGUGAGGCUUUAGUAAAUAUUGCCAAACCAUAAAUUAAAUCACUUUACAUUCACAGGAAAAGUGUAGGAGAGUUAAGUUGGCUACAGACCCUCACUGAUACUUGAUAUUUUUCUAAUUUUUAUUACUUAUUUUAUUCUUUUAAAAGCUGAUACAUAACAUAUUUAUGGGGAAAAGUAUAUAUAGUUCAAUACAUGUACACACUGAAUAAUGAUCAAAUCAAGAGAGUAAGCAUAUCCGAUUUUUAACAUAAUUUAUAUGUAUUAGAAGACAUCCUAUUCUUCUUUUAGAGUUAUUUUCCCAAAUAUAUCAUAUAUUAUGAAAAGUUAAUUUCUGUUUGACUAUAAAUUAUUAUGAUUUCUAAUCUUGUUUGGAAUUCCUGCCCAUGCCUUGAACUCACCCAUGCCUGAAUUUCUCUGACCAGAUAACAACCCUCUCUUAAACCUUAGUGGAACCUCAUAAAUCCUAGCUCCCCCUGACCAGAUAACAACCCUCUCUGAAACCUCAGCAGUGCCUCAUAAAUUCUAAUGUUGGGAUCUGAAUUUACUCCCUGCCUUCAAAUAUCAUGCCACGUACAUCAUUAACCUGUUAUCUGCCUUUGUAUUAUGCUUGUCAAAAUCCUGUUAUCUUUAAGUUCUCAAGACACUCCCCUUUGCAACUUUUUGAGCUAUAAAACUGUGUUCCUGGAAAGCUGGGGUACUGAUCUCUAGCCCGGAAUUUUAGGUGAGAUGGUUGCUGGCCAGACUUUGUGUACACAAAUACAAGCUUGCUUUAAUUUGAUUUAAAACAAAAGUUAGUAGUCUUUUCUUUGUGUCAGGGUUCAAAAACAUUAACAACAACAACAACAAAGGAAACAUGAAGGAAGAGACUGUAUUGCUAAUUUCUGCUGGUUAUAGAGAAAUUACAACUAUUGCUGAUUUAUAAAACCAUCCUAUUCUACUCAAACUUUGUUUUUAAAUACUUAAUACCAAAUUGAAAAGAAAAAAUACUUCUUCUAGGUGGAAGUUUGGAUUUUUGCCCUUCUACUAAGUUAAUGCUUGGUAUUAAAACUUUUGCUAAAAUAAGUUUCUACAAAGGAGGAAAAGCUUACCCAUCACUUGGUUUCUGGGACACAGCCAAGUGCCUGGGUUUCAGACUGCAUGGGCACUGUAUCUUUUGGGGUACCUAUUCCAUAAGGCAGGGCUGUAGGAGGUUUAAAGUGGUGGCACAUUUCUUUUUAUCCUUGUGUUAGGAGUGCAGUACCUCAAAGAAGGUUCAUUUUUCUUUCAUAGAGAUAUUCAUAUCUCAGAAAGAAAAAAAAAUCUAAAAUGUGAACUUAAAGCUGACUAAUGCUGUGACUAUGUUUGCCACAAACUGAAAUAUACUACAUUUCACUCUUGGAACUUGUGCUGUAAAGAAACCUAGGUAGCACCUGAUUCACCACCAUGUACAAUCUUAUGAAGGCAAUUGUAUAAUGCAAUAGCGCAGCCAACAUACUUUUGUGGGGAGUAGGGGAAAAUGAAGGGAAAAAAAGAAUCAUCAAAGUGAAUUCUCUUUUGUGACAUUGGAAGUUAUUCUUUGAUGAACUAUAUUAUUGUAAUACCCCCCUGAGGCCUUUUAGGCUCUUGUCUCAGAUUUCAAGUCUUGGUGAAAUUUGAAAACUGCUUUUCUUAGAAGAUAGAAACUGGUAGUGGUAGAGAGUUAAUAGAUAUAAUUUCUUACCUAAUUCUCAGGAGGAAGGACAUUAAGGAAUUGUAUUUAAAAGCAGCACCCUCUCUUCACUUUUGUCCUCAGGAUAUCUUUGGGUCUAAAUACAAUACAGAUACAGAUACAAUACAAUACAGAUAUUGUAUUGCAAGUGUGCAAUUUGAAAACUUAGAGAAUUAGAAAUGAAUUGCAAAUGGCAGGUAAUUUCCAAAGGUUGAUGCAAACUGAUGCAACUGAUGGUUGAUGGUGAAUACCAAGGGUUCUUAUUGAACUUACUCCUGAUGCAACAGCAAUUUCAAUUUCCUCCCAGUGACUUAAUUGUUAUAUUGCUCCAUAGUAUCCAAUAUGUGCAUUAGGAGAACUGCUAGAAAGAGCAAGAAUACAUGUAGAAAGCUUCACAAUCAUGAUCAAACUUGAUUCUCAACUCUGACAUUGGAUCAAAAUGUGGCCAUCCCUUACUGAGGCCAUUAGUCCAGGUCUCAGAUUUGAAAUCUAUGUGCAAUUUGUUAACUGCCUUUGGUAUUACAUGGGCAAAUAGUAGUGGUAGGGAGUUAGGAGAUGCAAUUUCUUUCUUAAUGCUCAAGAGAGCAUUAAAGUGUACUGUUUCACAGUAGCAAAACUUUACAUUUGACUCAAGGUAUCUGCACACAUACAGACAAGUAUGUACAUUUUGAAAACUCCUUAUAGCAGUAAGAGAGAAUUGCAAGUGGCAGAUAGUUUGCAAAGAAUGAUGCAAACUUAAUUCUCAAAUGUUUUUUACCUUUAAUUACUGCUGCAAAAGCAGUUUCAUUUUCUUCCCAUGGGUAUAAUAGGUGCUAUUCUCCACAGCAAACAAUAUCUGCAUUAGUGAAACUGCUAGAAUGAGCAGGAGUGAAACAGUACAUGGACGGAGCUUCAAAAUGCAUGAUAAAACUUAAUGUUCAACUCUGGCUUUGGGAGUCCUUUCUUAAUGAACUACAGUAUUGCCAUAGCUCACUGUGGUCUUUUAGAACCUCUUCUCAUAUUUGAAGUAUACGUGUAAUUUGUAAGUUGCUUUAUGUGGGAGAUGGAAAACAUUAGUUGUAGGAAGUUAGUAGAUACAAUUUUUUAAUCUAAUGCACAAAGGGGCGUUAAGGAAUAAUAUUUCACAGUAACAGCCUGUCACUUGCAGUUUACUCCUAUCCCUCUUAGGUAUUUUCAAAAUGCAGGUGUUCAGAUACAUUGAGAAAAGCCUGAAGAUGCUUUGGAAAUGCAGGUGAACUCAGUACUGACUUAAACUACUUUUCUGUUAAUACCCCCUUGUGCAUUAUGUAAGAAAUUAAAUUGGAUUAUUCUCUACCAUUACCAGUUCCCAUCUUCUAUGAAGAGAAAUGUACAGAUUGCACCUAGACUCCAAAUCUGAGACCUGGGGCUAUAGAGAGGUAUGGCAUAUUGUAGUUCAUCAAGGAUUGACUCCUAAUGCCAGAAUUGAGAAUUCGGUUUGAUCACACAUUGUGCUGCUUUCUACAGUAACAUUUUACUCUUGCUCAUUCUACUAGUUUUUAAUGUGGAUACUCAGUGCUGUAGAGCAAUGUACUUAUUAAACCCCUGGUGAGAAAGAUAAAUCUGCUGUAGGAAAAGUAAUGAAUUCAGUAAGUCCCCUUUGGGAAUUCAGUUGUUUUGGCAUGGGGAAACUGCCUUUUAAUUGUGAUUCAUUCCUACCUGUAUGAGGCAUUUUCAAAAUGCACAUAUUCAGGUGUGUAGAAUACAGUUCUGAGUGACUCUGAAUGCCAGAACUGAAAAUUCAGUGUGAUGCUGCAUUGUGAGGCUUUCUACAUGUACCAUUUCCCACUAGCUCAUUCUAGUUUUUCCAAAUCUGGAUAUUAGAUCUGUUGAGCACUUUAACUAGGAAUCCCCUGGGAAGAAAGUAAAGCCUGUCUUGCAGCAGCAGUCUAUUCAGUAGGACCCAUUUGUGAAUUAAGUUUGAACCUGCUUCUAAAAUCUUCCUGCCACUUUCAUUUCACUCUUAUUCCUAUAAGCUGUUUUCACAAUGCACAUAUUUGGCUGUAUUUUUCUCAGGUCUUAUGGUAUUCUUAAGAUAAAUGUAAAGGUCUUUUUGUUUAAUUUUGUUUGUUUAUUUGCCAUGAAAGACAAUUUCUUAAUCCUACUUGAGUGUCAUGACAGUAAUUAUAUCUCCAAACUCCCUCUAAGUACACUUUUGUGUCUUCUAUAAAAACGGAUCACAAAUUGCUCAUAGCUUCAAAUCUGAGUCCUGUGCCUAAUGGGCCACAGAUAUUAUUGGAAACAUUAAACUUAAAACAAGGGUUGACUUCAAAUGACAGAAUUAAGAAUUCAGUUUGAUUCUUCACUGUGAGAUUUUCUCUAAUUCCCACUUCCCUUCUGAUUUUUCUAGCUCUUUUCUAAAGGCAGAUACAAGGCCCUGUUGAGCAGUGUAAUUAGUGAAGCCUGUGUGGUAGCAAGAGUCAAUUCUGCAAGACUCUUUCAUGGUUUCAUUUGAAUUAGCUUCUGGAAGAUACAUGACACAUUUAUUUCACUCCUGUUUUUAUAACCUGUUUUCAAAAUGCAGAUAUUUAGCUGUAUUGAGUUCAGGAUUUUUGCAGUAUUGUUAUGGUUUACAUUUUGGUAUCCUCCAAAAGAUCACUAUGAGAAAAUGCCUGAGAGUUUAGAGGUGAAAUGAUUGGAUUAUUACAACCUUAACCUGUUCCAUACAUUAAUCUCUUGAUGGGCAUUUACUGAAAGGUAACAGUAGGCAGGUGGUGUGUGGUUAAAAUAGGUGGGUCCCUGGGGGCAUGCAUUUAGGUUAUAUAUUUUGUCCACAUUGACAAGAGUUCUCUCUUUGCUUCCUGGUGGCCAUGUCCUGAUGUGUUCUCCUUCACCACAUACCUCUAACAUGGUAUUCUGCUUCACCUUGAACCCCCAGGAAUGGAGCCAGCUCUCUUUGAACUGUGACUUCUGAAACUGUGAGCCACCAGGUAAACUUUUCCAUCUAAAACUGUUCUUGUCAGGUCUUUUAAUCACAGCAGAAACCAAAAGCUGACUAAAAAAAGUGCACUUAGGAUGAAUGUGCAUGAUGUAGGGUGUUGAAAGACAAUUCCUUAAUGCCCCCUUGAGCUUUUUGAAGAAAUUUCAUCUGAAGACUCCCUCCAAAUAAAGUUCCCUGGCUUCUAUAAAAAGCAGUUUACAAAUUGCACAUAGGCAUCAAAUCUGAGUCCUGGACCUAAAGGGUCCCAGAGAUGUAUGGGAACAUUGGGAUGACUCCAAAUGUCAAAAUUAAGAAUUUGGUUUGAUUCAGUAUGGAGAAGCUUUCUAUGUACCAUUUCCCUCCUGCUCAUUCUAGCUUUUCCACAUCCAGAUAUUGGGCCUGGUUGGGACUGAUUGACUACGAAGCCCCUGGGAAGAAACUGAAGCCUGUGCUGCAGCAGAAUUCAAUUCAAGUAGGACUAAUUUGUGAAUUCUGUUUGAAUCUGGAAGCUACUUAAUACUUUCAUUUCACUCUUGUUCCUAUAAGCCACUCUAAAACUGCACAUAUCCAGGGGUAAUGAGGUCAGAAUUUAAGGUGCCCUUAGGAAAAAUUUGAAGGUUGUGCUCCCAUGAAAGAGAUUUUCUUUAUUCCCAUUUGAGCAGCUUGUAAGAAAUUAUCUCUGUAUCCUCCCUCUAUGGAUAGUUUCCUGUCUCUUAUGAAAAGCUUUUAGAAAUUUCAAUACCUGGGCCUCUUGAGCAAAGAUGAGGGAGCCUAGAAACCAAGACUCUGCUCUUAAAGGGAAAAGAUGACUGAGCCCUAGGUAGGUUCAGGAAGUAGGAACACAAAUCCACCUCACUAUUCAUUAAGAACAAGCUCUAGGCCAGAGGAGAGUGGUGUGUUACAGGUAUCUCAAGGAUGUACUUGUCAGGUGCCUUGCCCCCAGUUCAGGUGGAGUAAUCCCUGAAACCCCUCAGGAGAUUUUGUGUGAGGCCUGUCAAAUUUUGACCCUUUCAGUCCUUUCCAGUGGAGUGCCAUCUAGGGAAGGUCUGAAUUCUGUAAAAUUUGCACAAGCUGGAGUCCCUGAGCAACAAAGGCAUUAGCUGGGACAGGAUAGGCAUCUGUGUAAGUCAGGCAAAUUAGACAAGUCUUGGAUUGGCUAGUCCGGGCUUUUCUGGAAUAUCAAAAACAUGGCAAGGUGAAGGAGGGCAAGGGAAGACAAGGAAAUGGAUGACUGGGCUUGGUUUGAUUGGGUGUAACUAGGCUUGGCUUGGCUUUUACUUGAGUCACAUCAUGACCAGGCAAUGAAAAACAAGGCAAAGCAAGACAAGGCAAAAGAAUAUUUGGCUGGGCUGGGCUGGGCUGGGCUAAACUGGACAUAGCUUAGCUUCUCCAGAGACAUAUGAUGACAAGGCAAUGAAAAGCAAGACAAUAAAAAUCAAGGUAAGUCAGGACUAGCAAGGCUUGAAUCCUUCUCAUUACCCAUGCCAUGGUGACAUAAAAUAAGUUAAAUAAAGGCAAUGCUUGACUUCUCAUUGAUACCAAAACCAUGGAAAAGUAAGGAAAGGCUUUCCCUCUAUAGCCAAACUGUGGCAAGACACAGCAAGGCUAGACUAGUCAAGUCAAAGCUAGAAAGUGUUGGCUUACCUCCAAUAUCCAAGCAAUGGCAAAACAAGGAAACGAAAAGGAAGUCAAGGCAAGGCAUUUCAAAUAAAGGCAAAGCAAACUUAGCUUUGAUAGCCAAGGCAAGGCAAAGCAAGUCAAGGCUUGACUUGGCAUAGCUUUACUGUACUUGUCUUCUUUAUAGUAAAAUAAAGUAUAGCCAAGUAAAGCCAUGGAAAGGUACAGCUAGGCAAGGUAAGGCAAGGCAUGCCUUGACUUGGCUAGAAUUAGCUUGGCUUCUCUUCGCAUCAGGCCAUAGAAAGGCAAGAGGAGACAAGGCACAGCAACUUGAUUUGAUCUAAAUUGGAUUAUAAAUAGCCAAAAUAUGAAAAGGCAAGACAAAUUAAGGGAGGCAAGAGAAGACUUUGCUGUGAUUGCCUUGACUUGGCUAAUCACUAAUAGCCCAGGCAUGGAAAGGCAAUGUAAUACAAGGCAAAGCAAAGCUUGGCCUGGUUUGGCUUCCUCUCAGUAGCCAUGUCAUGGUAAAGUAAGACAACCCAAGGCAAAGCAAGGCAAGAUAAAGUCUGGCUUCCACUUGAUAGUCAGGACAUAGCAAGGCAAGACAACAUAAGUCAAAGGAUCGCAAGGUACUGCUUGCCUUCUGCUCAAUAACUACAUCACAUCCAGGCACCAUAACAUAAGCAAGGCAAGUCUUGGAGUGGCACAUUUUCAUUCCUUAUGGUAUGUUUAUAUCUGGUGAGGCAAGGCAAAGAAGACUUGAAGGCAUGUCUUGAAAUGGUUUGACCUGGCUUUUUCUCAAUAGGCAGUCCAUGUGAAGGCAAGGCAAUAAAAGGCAUGGCUCAGCUAGACUUUUCUUGGUUUCUCCUAAAUAGCCAAACUAUGAAAGCCAAAGAAAGGCAAGGCAAGGCAGACAAGCAAGAGAGAGAAGGAAAAACAUGGCUCAGCCUGGUUUCUCCUAGAAGCCAAGCCAUGGGAGUCAAGACAAGGCAAGAUACGACAAAACUGGCCUUCUCCUUGAUAGCCAAACCAUGAUGAGGUUAGGUGAGGCAUAGCAAAGCAAAGGUAGUAAAGGCCAUUCUUGGAUUCGUCUUGAGAGCCAAGGCAUAGCAAUGCAAGCCAAGCCAAGGCACAGAAAGAGCAUGUUUUGCUUCCUCUGUAUAUUCAAAUCAUGGAAACUCAAGGCAAGUACCUACAAGAAUGAGCCAGGUCUAGCGUCCACUAGUAGCCAAGCCAUGAUGUGGUAAGGCCAAAUAAGACAAAGUUUGGAUUGGAUUGGCUUAGAUUGGCUUGGCUUAUCAAUAUGCAAGCAAGCAAAGCUGCCUUGACUUCCUUGCCUUUCCCCAAUAGGUAAACUAUGGAAAUCAAGGGAAACCAGAUACACAAUGCAUUCCCACUAUGCUCAACCUAUGGAAAGGCAAGGCAAGAUAAUGCAAAGCAAUGGAAAACAAGGCAAUAUUCGGUUUCCCCUUGAUAGUCAAAACAUGGAAAGGAAUCGUUUGGCUUCCUCUCAAUAGCCAAGCAAUGCAUUCUAAGUAAAGAUAAGCCAUAGUAACUGGCCUUUCCCUCUAUAGCCAAGAAUUGUGGAGACAAAGCAAAGUAAGGCAAAACAACUCAAGCCUCAUUUUAUAGUCAAUCCAUGGCAAGGCAAGGCAAGGCAACAAAAGGCAAGGACAGUCAAGGCUUGGCUUUCCCUUUAUGACCAAGUCAUAUUAAUAAAGACAAGGCAAGGAAUGGCAAUGCCAAGAAAUAUUUUCCUCUCCAUUGCUAAGUAUGAGGGAAGGAGUUUGGAAAGUUUACAGAUACAAGAAGGAAAAGUUUAGAUUGUUUUAAGCAGAGUUUAAUGGGUAAUUCUGGAGGAAACUCAGAAGACCAAAAUGUCAAAAGACAGUGGACACUAAAGACAGUGGACUCUAUUAGAAAUUGGACUAGAGGCCAUUUGUGUUACAUUCUGGUAAAGAAGUUGUCUUCAUUUUGCCAAUAUCCCAAAACUUUCUGAGGCUGAAUGGACUAAUUUAUCUGGAGGUAGAAAUUUCAAGAUAGCAUAGCAUUCAGGGUAUAUCAUGGAUAUUUCUAGCAGUAUUUGGUCAAGUUUUCUGUGAUAAUAAGCUGAAGGCAGAGAAAAAGAAUUAAAAACCCAGAAGUUUGGUAAAAAGUGACUAAAAUUGGGGUUAAGGAAAGUAUGGCAAAGAGAUUACAACAAUCACCUUCCCCAGAAACAAUAGGAAAGAUGACUUGACAACAUCCCACAAAUGUCAAAACCACACUCAUCUCAGGAUCAAGGGUGUAAAAAUAAAAUUUUCUUUGAGAAUACACCAGUUGGGCAUUCUCCCUGCAUAGAGAAUUCUUGGAAUUUGUUUCACCAUGAUCAGUUACCUGGGCACUCAGAGAUUGCUACAGCUGUUAUCCCCAGGAGGCUUUGCUUGACAUGGUUUUAGAUCUUGGCAUCAAUCACAAGAUGCUGAUUCUGCAGGAUUGCAUGAUUUUGGAGUUAGGGUGUUAUGGAGGGUCCCACUGCAUAUUGUAUUCACAUUGUUUCAAAAGAAGGCCUAAGAGAGCAGGCAAAGUGUAGCAGGGUCAGAGUCUCUGUGGACUGCCUCUCAGAGAGUGAUGAGCAAAAAAAUGAGCAGAAACCCAAAGCUUCAGAUUAAGAGAUGCCAGUCACAUGGGAUUUCUACCACAGAAAGUUGUAGGAAUUGAGAAGAGGUCAGGUAGGCUGCAAUCAGAAGUCCCUGAGAGGAGGAGAAAUGUUUCUCUCAGGUGGUUACCUUGGCUUGAUCUCAGGUUAUGGCUUCUAUGUGCAGUUUUCCAUGUGUGGAAAACUGCACCCAUAUUUCUCAGAAUGAUGCAUUUCUGAGGGUUCUUAUGACCCAAUUUUAGUGCAUUAGUGCAUUGUAAUAAUUCUCCCUGGCCACAUUUAUGAGAUUUAUUGAUCAGCUCUCAAGAGUCAAGGGCUGAAAAACAAAUGGCCCUUGUUGCACUGCUAGAGAAGCAGGACAAGGUAAAGUAAAUAUUUUCCACAGAAAUAGUAGACACACAGGAUGUAAGUGUGCCAGUUUUAGGCAGUCUGAAACCAUUCCUUCUAGAAGAUGGUAAAGGAAAACCUAGUAUUAGAAUAAUUAUUUUUAUUAUGUUAUUUUACUUUGAGUUCUUUUUAGUACAUUGUAUACAUAAUGGUAGGGAUUCAUCCUGACAUUCAUAAAUGUGUAUAACACAGUUUUUGCCAUUGAAAUUUCCAUAUUAUGCCCUUUUUUUUCUUCCCUCCUCCCUCCCCUAAUCUCCUUUCUCUACCCUAGUGGUCUUCAUUCAAUUUAUUCAUUUUUUAAUUGAUACAUUUUAGCUAUAUAUAAAAUUACAAUCCACCGUGCUAUAUUCAGGCAUUCACUUUGUAUUAUUCUUUGACUUAUAAACAAUAAUCAGUUAUUUCUUAUAGUUCUGAAGGAUGGGGAGUUCAAGAUCAAGUUUCUGUCAUUUACAUUGUCUGUCUUAGGCCUGUUCUUUGUAGUCAGUGCCUUCUCUCUUCAUCCUGGUGGUGGAAGGGGCUAGCUAGCUAUUCAGGGUCUCUUUCUCUUUUCCAAUUGACACAUGAUAAUUGUCUACAUCUAUGGGGUACACUGUGAUAUUUCAAUCUAUGAAUACAAUUUGCAGUGACCUAGUCAGGAUAAUCAAUAUCCUUCUCAAACAUUUAUCAUUUCUUUGUGUUUAAAACAUUUAUACUCCUGUGUCCUCAUUUUUCACAAAAUAAAUAAUAAUUUUUUGUUAAUAAUAGUCACCCUAAUAUACUAUAGAACACUAGACCUGAUUCCUUCUAUAUACAUAAAUGUAUGUGUGUAUAUAUAUAUAUAUCUAUAUAUAUAUGUAUAUAUAUAUGUGUUUGUAUAUGUAUGUGUAUGUAUAUACAUACAUACACACAUUGUCUUUUUAGUUAUACAUGACGGUAGAGUCUCUUUUGACACAGUUAUUCAAAGAUGAAGUUAUUCUUUCUAAAUAGUAUCCCAGUUUUGUGCAUGUACACAGUGUUGAGAUUUUACUGUGGUGGACUUAUAUAUGUACAUAAGAAACUUAUGUCAGAUUUAUUCCACUGCCUUUCCUAUUUCUAUCCCCAUCUUUCCCCUUCAAUAUUCACUGUCUAAUCCACUGAACCUCUAUCUCCUCCUUUUGUUGUGUGUUAGCAUCCACAUAUCAGAGAGACCAUUCAACCUUUGCUUUUGAGAGAUUGACUUAUUUCACUUAGCAUGAUAUUCUCUAGAUCCUUUCAUUUACCAGUAAAAGUCAUAAAUUAUUCUUCUUUAUGGCUGAGUAAUAAAUCUUUCUUUGAGGUGGUGUUCAUAGCUCAGCUUCAGGCUCUGAAUGGAUCGUGAAAUGCACAUUCAUGGAAACCUAUGUGAUUUUUGAUGUCCCAGAAAGCCUCACUCAUGAGGGCACCACUGGCCUAACCUUUGGGAAUAGGAAUUACACUCCCCUGGACAGGCUUACGACAGUUUGAUUAUUCUCAGCUGGGGUUCUAGGAGCUAAAUGAAGAGACUUGUCUGACUCAAACCAUUAGGAGAAGAAUCUGGAGACACUCAGGAUUCAGUGUUUCAAUGGUAGGCAACUUGACUCAAUUUGUGGUAGAAAGAGCUGUAAAGAAAUUUCUGGAAAUAGGAGAAACAUUUGAACAAACAUGGGGGCAUGUCUAGGCCAAAAGUUGGAGGCAGGAUACGUAGUGCAUAUGCUUAGAUUCCUGAUCCCAGAAUGGGAUCCCAGUCACAUUCCUGAGGUUUCUUUUGGCCCAAAUGUAAAUAUUGCAAUAACCUCUUCUUCAACAGAGUUAGAAGGGGAGAGUUUGGUCACAUGUAGGGAGCCAGCAGACACAUGAAGGGACUUGCCUGUGAUAACCCUACAUGCAGCUUAGAAAAAAAAUGAGAUAAAGGAUUCACUAAAAAGAAAAAAAAUUGAGAAUGCAAACUUGCCAUUUUCAGGCCAUCUGAAUACCUUUCUCGCAGGAAUAGUGAGAAAUAAUUUCCAAGUCUCCUGUCAAUCAACCGCCACUUGCACUGCUAACUCCAUUGCUGCCUCUGAUUCCGCUGCCACCAGCCUGAGAUCCUAUGGAGGUCUUCUUUCUGGAUGCUACUGCCACAGAAGGAAACCACUGCCUUGGAUGCAACUGAAGCCUACACUGCUGCUGACCCUGGAGAUCACCUAGAUACAAUGCCCCCUCAGUUGCUAUUGUAGCUACCGCUGCAACCACCACUACUGCUGACUCCCUGCCAGCAACCACCACCACUACCGCUGCUACCAUAGCCUAGAGGACUACUUCGAGGGAGACUUAAGCCCAUUUGGGGACACCAGUCAGUGCGGGGCCCUGGGUGCCAGCAGGUUUACCACCACAAAAGCCUCUGUCUGGGGACUCCCGCUGGGACAUGCAGGUCCAGUGUGGGGGUGCCAGAAGGUUUGGAGGAGCCUGGGGUCUUCCUGGUGAGAGUGCUGGUGGCCAUUGUCUUGCUGCUGCUGCAUCUCAGAGUUGCUCCUUUGCAUGAGUGUAUCCCUGGUGGUCUCUCAGCAAGUAUGAGCAGCAUUGAGAACUUGGGACUGCAGCGUGGCCAAUCCUGAGGUAUCUGUAAAGGUCGGGCGAGCGUCAGAGGAAGAGACCACCAAGAGACUGUCACAUGCAACAGCAAAGGGUUUAUUGGGGGUCCAGCAUGCUGGGGCUCAGAGCUCACUUGAAUAGAGCAGAGAGCCCCGGGAACAGCUUAAGCAGAGCUUAUAUAUUUUCCUUGGAGAGGGCAGGGACUUCACAUACAGCAUAGCCAAUCGUUGCACGGUUUCUGGGAGGGGUGGUUUUUGUAGAGCAACCAGAUGGGCAUUUCCGGGACUUGUUUUCAACUUCUACAUGAGUUUCAGGUUCCAGGAAAACAGAACUUAAUUCUUACAUUCUUAACCUUUUCAAUAUAAUAGCAGAAAAAUUUUCAAACUUAACGAAUGGAGUGGAAGAUCAAAUACAAGAUGCUUACAGGACCCCAAAAGCACAAAAUUACAGCUGACCCACAUCAAGACAGGUUAUAAUGAAAAUGACUAACACAGAGAAUAAAGAUAAAAUCCCAAAGGUUUUGAGAAAAAAAUCAAAUUACAUAUGGGGGGAGGAAACAAUUCAGAUCCAAACUGAUUUCUCAGCCCCUAUCUUCAAAGCUAGUCCUUCCUGGAAUAAUAUAUUUCAAGCUCUGACAGAAAAUGGAUGGUAACCAAGAAUUAUAAAAAUUAUUUAGAAAAAUUUUCAAAUUUGAAAACAAAAUUAAAACAUUCCAUGAUAAACAAAAAUUAAAAGAAUUCACAACUAGAAAGCCUACACUACAUAGCAUUCUCAACAGAAUAUUCCUUGAGGAUAAAGGGGGGUGGGAGUGAAAACCAGCAAAGGGAGGAUCCUAUAGUAAAGUGAUAUUCAACCAAAUGAGAAACUAAGACAAAUCAAAAAUCAGAAAUAAAUCAAAAUGACAGGGAAUACAAAUCAUAUCAAUAAUAACCUUGAAUGUUCAUAACCUAAAGUCAUCAAUCAAAUGACACAAAUUGGCUGAUUGGAUUAAAAUGUAAGAUCCAACAAUAUGCUGUCUUCAAGAGACUCACCUCAUGGGCAAAGACAUCCACAGGCUGAAGGUGAAAGGAUGGGAAAAAAUUUACCACUCAUAUGGAUUGCAUAAACAAGUAGGGUUCUCUACUCUCAUUUCAGAUAAAGUAGAUUCAAACCAAAGUUAAUCAGAAGAGGAAAAGAAGGGAAGUAUAUAUAAGCAGAAUAUAAUAAUUAUAAAUAUUUAAGCCCCAAACAGUGGAGCCUCCAUGUACAUCAAACUAACACUUCUCAAUUUCAAGAGUCAAACAGACCAAAAUACAAUAAUACUGGAUGAUUUUAACAAUCCUCUCUCACUACUGGACAGAUCUUCCAAACAAAAACUAAAAGAAAAUUAUAGAACUAAAUAAUACAAUCAAUAACUUAGACUUAACAGACACAUACAAAAUAUUUUAUCUAUCAAUGAGCAAAUAUACUUCUUUUUUUUACAUUUGUGGGGACUUAAUUCAAAUGUUUUAAGCAGUUACUUUUCCAAUGAGUUUCACCCACUGACUUCAUGGAAUUAUGGGUCAGCUUGAUAUAUCCAGGUUCAAGGAAAAUUGCCCACCAAGGAUGUAAAUGAAUUCCCUCAACUUAGGAAGAUAUUGCCAUGGGAGAAACUACAUGGCAAAUGAGAGCAUCAUUUAUAUUUUUCUGUUCUAUUAUACAUCUCAAUGGAAAUCUCAAGUAACAGUCACGACCAGAAUCUCAUAUCCAGAUUAUUACAUUGUUCAUUUAAUUAGAAUCAUCCCAUUUUAAAUCUGUAAUCAGUCAUGAUUUAUUGUGGAUCACAAUGGCAAGGUGUAAAGCUUAGGAAAGACUUUUUUUUUCCACUGAUAUUUAUUUAUUUAUGAGGGAGGAAGAUGGAGGGCUAGAGGGAGGCAACAUCCUGGAUCGCUCUGUGAUCCAGAUCUCACCUAGUCAGAAUACUGCAUCUCUGAGUGUGUUAGAAGUGGCCUCUAGUCCUGUUUUUUGUAGAGUUCAC
rnacentral:lncRNA from 1 species